rnacentral:rRNA from 1 species
CCUACGGGUGGCGGCAGUGGGGAAUAUUGCGCAAUGGGCGAAAGCCUGACGCAGCGACGCCGCGUGAGGGAUGAAGGUCUUCGGAUCGUAAACCUCUGUCAGCAGGGAAGAACGGUCCCUGUGCUAAUCAGCAGUGAAUUGACGGUACCUGCAAAGGAAGCACCGGCUAACUCCGUGCCAGCAGCCGCGGUAAUACGGAGGGGGCGAGCGUUAAUAGGAAUUACUGGGCGUAAAGGGCUCGUAGUCGGUAAGGCAAGUCACGGGUGAAAGCCCCGCGCUCAACGUGGGAAUUGCCUUUGAAACUGGGAAACUGGAGUGUGGGAGAGGAUAGUGGAAUUCCAGGUGUAGGAGUGAAAUCCGUAGAUAUCUGGAGGAACAUCAGUGGCGAAGGCGACUAGCUGGAACAUAACUGACGCGGAGGAGCGAAAGCGUGGGUAGCAAACAGGAUUAGAUACCCCAGUAGUC